rnacentral:rRNA from 1 species
GUGGGGAAUCUUGCGCAAUGGGCGAAAGCCUGACGCAGCCAUGCCGCGUGAAUGAUGAAGGUCUUAGGAUUGUAAAAUUCUUUCACCGGGGACGAUAAUGACGGUACCCGGAGAAGAAGCUCCGGCUAACUUCGUGCCAGCAGCCGCGGUAAUACGAAGGGGGCUAGCGUUGCUCGGAAUUACUGGGCGUAAAGGGCGCGUAGGCGGACAGCUUAGUCAGAGGUGAAAGCCCAGGGCUCAACCUUGGAAUUGCCUUUGAUACUGUCUGUCUUGAGUUUGGGAGAGGUGAGUGGAACUCCGAGUGUAGAGGUGAAAUUCGUAGAUAUUCGGAAGAACACCAGUGGCGAAGGCGACUCACUGGCCCAAUACUGACGCUGAGGCGCGAAAGCGUGGGGAGCAAACAGGAUUAGAAACCCCGGUAGUCC